rnacentral:rRNA from 1 species
UACAGAGGGUGCAAGCGUUAAUCGGAAUUACUGGGCGUAAAGCGUGCGCAGGCGGUUCUCCAAGUCCGUUGUGAAAGCCCCGGGCUCAACCUGGGAAUGGCAGUGGAAACUAGGGGACUGGAAUCUGGCAGAGGGGGGUGGAAUGCCGCGUGUAGCAGUGAAAUGCGUAGAGAUGCGGCGGAACACCGAUGGCGAAGGCAGCCCCCUGGGCUGAGAUUGACGCUCAGGCACGAAAGCGUGGGGAGCAAACAGG